CACUGAUAUGUAUGUCUAUAUAUUGGUCAUAACUAGACAAAUGUGGAUUUGGAAAUGCUUCGAAAUUUUAGUUUAAUUUAAAAUAGGUUUGGUAAUUUUUUGUAUAAUUUGGUAAAAAAUAAACAACUUAUGGUAACACUGAACACAUAUAAGUAAAAUAUAGCCAUCGAAAAGUCUACCCUACGUUGCUUAUGCAUUUGACAGAGUUUUCGUUCAUUUUCUGACAGUCAGUUCCGGCAGCAUAUUCAUAUUAGGUUCUUUCCCGUACGCAACGUGGGAUCCAGCGGGUGCCCAAAAUAGCCCAGAAAUCAUUCCCGUACUCAACAAAAUGGGUAAUAGAGAGCGAAAAUUGCAACAUAUUGGAUCGUGUCUUCUUCUUCCUGCCCGAAACAGCCCGGACUUUUUCUCCGGGUAAAAAUGGAUAAAAUGUCAAAGUGCAUAUCAGCUGUUUUACGUUUACAUGUCCACGUGGCACAGCAAAAUGAAGUCAUUCUUAACAUCAUAUUAAAUUACGCUAUCAUGUCGUGACUAAACAAUACACAAAAAUUGGAAAAUAACUUUUUACGAACCUUUGAUACCCAGCAACGAAAUAAGAAGGAGAAUAGGAAUGAAACGAUACGAGUAAAUACAAGUAAAUACUCGGUACUUUUCGUUCGAUACCGAGUAAUUUUGGUAUCGAUACUUUUGAACCAAGUACUGAGUAGGUAUCGAAAAUCAAAUAUUUGUAGCGAAACCCGAUACUAAAGGGCUGACUAUAAUGUGAAUAAGCAAGCGUAUGCAAAUGUGCGAAUAAACAUAAAUCCUAUUCUGAAA